ACGUUGAAACGCUGGUUCUCGUAUGAACACCGAACUUAAGCAAAGUUGAGCCUGGUCAGUACCUAAAUGGGUGACCGUUUGGGAAUACCAGGUGCCGUAA